rnacentral:rRNA from 1 species
UACGGAGGGUGCGAGCGUUGUCCGGAAUCAUUGGGCGUAAAGGGCGCGUGGGUGGCCUGGUCAGCGUGCGGUGAAAGCCUGGGGCUCAACCCCGGGUCGGCCGUGCGAACUGCUGGGCUUGAGCACUGUAGAGGCAGGCGGAAUUCCGGGUGUAGCGGUGGAAUGCGUAGAGAUCCGGAAGAACACCGGUGGCGAAGGCGGCCUGCUGGGCAGUAGCUGACACUGAGGCGCGACAGCGUGGGGAGCAAACAGG